GACGAACGCUGGCGGCGUGCUUAACACAUGCCAGUCGAACGGAAAGGCCCUGCUUUUGUGGGGUGCUCGAGUGGCUAACGGGUGAGUAACACGUGAGUAACCUGCCCUUGACUUUGGGAUAACUUCAGGAAACUGGGGCUAAUACCGGAUAGGAGCUCCUGCUGCAUGGUGGGGGUUGGAAAGUUUCGGCGGUUGGGGAUGGACUCGCGGCUUAUCAGCUUGUUGGUGGGGUAGUGGCUUACCAAGGCUUUGACGGGUAGCCGGCCUGAGAGGGUGACCGGCCACAUUGGGACUGAGAUACGGCCCAGACUCCUACGGGAGGCAGCAGUGGGGAAUAUUGCACAAUGGGCGGAAGCCUGAUGCAGCAACGCCGCGUGCGGGAUGACGGCCUUCGGGUUGUAAACCGCUUUCGCCUGUGACGAAGCGUGAGUGACGGUAAUGGGUAAAGAAGCACCGGCUAACUACGUG
rnacentral:rRNA from 1 species